CACCACAGAUUUUCUGGGGUGCCUGUGGGCUUUCUGACUGAUGAGCACUUCUCCAAAGAAAGGUGUCAGGUCCGAGCAUGGGAUCCCAAACGAGCGAUGGCUCUGAAAUACCCAAGUGUUUGACCUAGAGGGAGCUCUCUUACAUGAAGAAUGAGACUUGGCGCUGCCUGCCUGAACAGCUUUUAGCGUCUGUAUUUUCAGCAAGCUUCUGCUUCCUGUAUUCUGAGCUCACACUGCCAGAGCAGGCAAGAAACGUGAGCAGCAGAGGCAGGAGAAGUUACUUGGGUUCAUACCCCCAGUCUGACUUGAAAAAUGCCAGAAGAAACCCUGUAAAUGCUCAGCAGCUGUUAAUAUGAUUCUGUCGAUAAGUUUACCAUGGUGAUUUGGCUAUAUUUGGUGAGCGUGUGAAGAAAUCACUCACCGGUUGGAAGAAGGAAAGACAAGCUGUCGAUAUCAAGGGAGAAAUGCUAAUAACCCCGGUGACAAAUCAUUCCUGGGAAUCUCAAAGGGUUAAAAAAAAAGCAGCAGCACUUCCCGGAGAGAGGGGCCUUGGCGAGUGAAGGUGACUCAUCCGGAGCUGCAGACACCAGCU